rnacentral:rRNA from 1 species
UACGGAGGAUGCGAGCGUUGUCCGGAUUUACUGGGUGUAAAGGGCGUGCAGCCGGGAGUGCAAGUCAGAUGUGAAAUCCCGCGGCUCAACCGCGGAACUGCAUUUGAAACUGUGCUUCUUGAGUGCUGGAGAGGCAGACGGAAUUCCUAGUGUAGCGGUGAAAUGCGUAGAUAUUAGGAGGAACACCAGUGGCGAAGGCGGUCUGCUGGACAGAAACUGACGUUGAGGCUCGAAAGCGUGGGGAGCAAAAAGG